rfam:Triticum aestivum genome assembly, contig: Triticum_aestivum_CS42_TGACv1_scaffold_147287_2BS
GACCUAUUCCCUUUGUCCGAAAAUACUUGUCGAAGAAAUAGAUACAAAUGGAUGUAUUUAGAACUAAAAUACAUCUAGAUACAUCCAUUCCCAAGAGAAGUAUUUACGGACAGAGGAUUAUUUU